rnacentral:rRNA from 1 species
AUUGAACGCUGGCGGCAUGCCUUACACAUGCAAGUCGAACGGUAACGCGGGGCAACCUGGCGACGAGUGGCGAACGGGUGAGUAACGCAUCGGAACGUGCCCAGUAGUGGGGGAUAGCCCGGCGAAAGCCGGAUUAAUACCGCAUACGACCUACGGGUGAAAGCGGGGGACCGUAAGGCCUCGCGCUAUUGGAGCGGCCGAUGUCAGAUUAGGUAGUUGGUGGGGUAAAGGCCUACCAAGCCGACGAUCUGUAGCUGGUCUGAGAGGACGACCAGCCACACUGGGACUGAGACACGGCCCAGACUCCUACGGGAGGCAGCAGUGGGGAAUUUUGGACAAUGGGCGCAAGCCUGAUCCAGCCAUGCCGCGUGCGGGAAGAAGGCCUUCGGGUUGUAAACCGCUUUUGUCAGGGAAGAAACGCUCUGGGCUAAUACCCCGGGGUAAUGACGGUACCUGAAGAAUAAGCACCGGCUAACUACGUGCCAGCCGCCGCCGUAACAC